rnacentral:tRNA from 1 species
GUCUAGGUAGCUCAGCGCGGUAGAGCAGCGAGCGCAACGCGAACGCUCAUCCAAUGCAGGUCGCAGGUUCGACUCCCGCCCUAGACC